UUUUUUUGACUUUUUCUACUGAUUUUUUUGUGGGAAAUAUUUUUUAAUAUUCUAUCACAGUGCCAUAAAUAUGCAUAUAAAAUUUCAGACCAAUCGGACAAUGUUUACCCACUCAAAUGAUUUUUUUUCAAAAAUUUUUCUGCGUCAAAACUACUAUAUGUUGUUUUUUAAAGGAAAUCAGUUUAGAAAUCAACCAAGAACACCCAAAAUGCCCAAAAUC
rnacentral:lncRNA from 1 species